UACGUAGGGUGCGAGCGUUAAUCGGAAUUACUGGGCGUAAAGCGUGCGCAGGCGGUUCGUUGUGUCGGCGGUGAAAGCCCCGGGCUUAACCUGGGAAUGGCCGUCGAAACUGGCGAACUGGAGUGUGGCAGAGGGGGGUGGAAUUCCGCGUGUAGCAGUGAAAUGCGUAGAGAUGCGGAGGAACACCGAUGGCGAAGGCAGCCCCCUGGGCUGACACUGACGCUCAGGCACGAAAGCGUGGGGAGCGAACAGG
rnacentral:rRNA from 1 species